GCCCUGCUGGCUCAAAGGUUACAGCAUCGCCCUCCUAAGGCGAAGACUCCGGGUUCGAGUCCCGGGCAGGGUU
rnacentral:tRNA from 1 species